GAGGGCAGGUGGUGUUGGUCACCGUGAAGCAGGUAAGGUUGUUGGUGGUGGUUGUGGCGACUCCGCUGACGAUUGAGAUGGUUCAAUGACUCGCCGUGCUCCAUCUCCCCAGCAGGGGCGUCACCCUCCCCCAGCGAGCACGUGGGAAGCUCCUCUUUCCUCAGCAACUUCAGGUCUUUCCCCACCAUUUCUGGAGGUGACACGCACGCCACUGAGGAGGUGGAGCCUCGGAAGCUCCGCAGCCAGUCCAAAAGUGACAAGGCCCGGCAGUCGCAUUGCCACGGGUUGUCGUUAAGGCGAAGGUACUCCAGGGCCGGCAGAAGAGCCAGGCUUGCCCCAGGUAGCUCCGUCAGUGAGUUGUUGAACAGGUACAAGGUGGUGAGGCGCCGUAGGUCAUGGAAGGCCUGCUGGUCGACCCACUGGAUGCGGUUUUGGUGCAGGAGCAGGCGGUCCAAAGCACCCAGACCCCGGAAGGUGUUCUGGUGGAGGCUCCACAGUUUGUUACCGUGUAGGAAGAGAUGGCUGAGGUUCAGGAGGUCGAUGAACAGGUCGUCCUCCAGGAACUCCAACUGGUUGUCCUGCGAGGAACCAGAGAUAGACUCUGAUCAGUCGGGAAGGUGGUCAGUUACAAUAUCAACAAAUGGUGACCUGGCAGGUUAAAAUCGAUUUCCAAUCAUUAAUAUGCAAACCUAAGCUAAGGUUACCAGGACACCAGGAGGUGUAGGAGGACAGGAGUAAGGAGUAAGCAAGCAAACGUUUGAGGUGCAUGUGUACCUGCAGGUAGAGAUACUGCAGGUUGUGGAGGCCUGCAAAGAUGGCGGGGGGCAGGCUGAGCAGGCCGCAGUGGUACAGGUGCAGGGCUUGGAGGCGGCCCAGGCCCUGGAAGGUGUCGGCCGCGAUGGCCCUCAGGUGGCGGUUGUCUCCGAGGUCCAGCUCCUCCAGACGGCGGAAUCCGUGGAAGGUGGACGGCUGAAUGUAGGAGAUGUUGUUGGAGUAGAGCCACAGCAUGGCCGUGCUGGGCGAGAAGUGUCCGCGGAGCAGCCGCUGGAUCUUGUUGUUCUGCAGGAAGACGCGUUCGCUCUGGGCUGGGAUGCCCUCGGGCACGGCGUGGAAGUUGUGUGCCUGGCAGGACACGGUGGUGGGCGACGUGUAGCAAAUGCAGUGGCGGGGGCACGGCAGUGACACGUCCAGACCGCACAGCACCAGCAGAAGCUCCAGCCCUGCAGAACCUGAGGAAGGACAGCAGGCUGGUGUUGGGAAAUCGAUGUUGUUUACAAGAGACCACAUUUAACCUUCUUCCAUGAGACAAACACACAAAAUAGAGAACCAGAACCACGGGGCGGCUAAGCAUCAGAACCACGAGGAGGAUUAAGAUGAAAGAUCCCUCCGGCCACAACUCUUCCUCCUCUUCUUCCUCCUCCUGAAGUGACAGCACUAAUCACUUCUUGUCAGGUCCAUUUGGUGCCGCCCGCCUUUGACCCGACUCGACCCGCCGGGUGAGCUAAGAGAUGACGAUAUGUGCGGACGUGUUGUUGGACUUUGCGGCACAUUGGACGGUUCUAGAAGGACUGUAUCAAGUAUUUCCUACUUUUGGUUUGAUUUUGUUUACAUGGGUCGAAACUGAACUGGGAAGUAGCGGGAAGGAAGUGGGUACCAACGUCAUGUGAGUGGGACAAAACAUAUCCAAACAUAUUACAUAUGGUGUGGUGGUGUGGUAAUACACAAACAUGAAGUACAACAACCGAUGAGUUAUUGCCUAUUUUUGACUGUAGUUUAGCGGUUUUACCUUGUCUUAAUACGCAAGUACUAACAACCUGGAAAAAGGAAGUAUGAGUAAAAGCAACAUGAAACUGGUAAUGGUGCUAAAUAUGCCGUCAAACAUAAGCUUUCAACCAUUGACAUUUAGACGUUUAAACAUUAAACAUUAAACAUACAGUGAUAACAAAUACCUGAUAUUUAAUUUCACUUCAAAUAUCACACACAAAAAGUGUAUUUUUGUAUUAAAUUACAGUAGAACCUUGCUUAGUGUCCGCCUUUUGUUAGCGUUUUUUCGGUUAAAGUCAAAAAUGCUGCCUCGGUUUGCAUACGUUUUCCGGUUAGCAUACAAUAUGGCGCACAAACGACCUCAUUAGCUUGCUAACAAAAUGGCAACCGUAACCGAAAGUCAGCUAUGUUGCACAUCUACGAUGUCAUCAGCGGUUGACUCUUAAACAAUGUUCACACAAAACACGUUUUUAUAGUUUUACAUACAGAAACAAUUCCAGAUGCAUAUAAAUUGCGAAUGAAAGGGAUAAAUGACCAUUGAAGACAUCGCUGUCCUCAAAGGCACCACGUGGCAGCGAGACACCACCUUGCUACUCCAUUUUGGGUUGUUGAGGUGAGAAAGACGACUGAAUGAAAGAACUCAUGGCAAAACAAGAAGGUGGUGUCUGUGUUGAUCUUGCUUCUCGCUUCUCUUGAAAAGUAACCUUAAGUGUUCAUUCAUUCCUUUCAUUCAUCAUUUAUAUGUAUUUCUAUGCAUAUAAAACUACUGUAUCAUUGUAAAAGUACAAAAACGUGUUUUGUGUUAACAUUAUUGGCUUUAUGGCAUGGGUUAAUUGGAUGGACAUUAUUUGUUAUGGUAAUAAUUGAUUCAGUUAGCGUCCGUUUCAGUUUGUGUCAAACCUUCUGGAAUGGAUUAAUUCAUUCAUUGAUUAAUUUUUAUUUCAUGUGCUUUUUCUUUCAUCACAUCCAUGUUUUUUGCCCGACUCCUGUACAAGCAGUAUCACAGAAUCACUGUAUUAUCAUAUUUGAAUUUUCUAUCAAUUUGAGAGCUUCCUGAAGACCAGGAAUGGAUACAUACAUAUUUGUAAUAAUAAAUCUGACUCAUAAUGCUUUUUGUUUCCGUUGAGCAUUUUACCCGGUGACCGGAUAGUAUAAGAGAAAAGUCUAUUUUUAACAUCCUAUAGUUUAACGUCCUUGUUAACUUCCUUAGAUAUUGUCAUAUUCCGGUGCAGGCUGCAUCACGUAAUCAGUAUCACAAUAAUAUCAGCUUACUAAAAGUUGAACUUUUGAUUAAUUGUAACUAUUAUAACUAUGAACUAUUAUAUUUUUCUAUCAAUGUGUUUUUCUUUCUUAAUGUACAGAGAUACGUAUCAUGAUGUAUCUCUCUUACAGUAUCUAUGGCCUAAUUCUCAUGGAUUGGAUCUCCGUAAUAAAAAUGACAUUACGCUACUUUGGGAUUGUCCUCUUAGGAACAACAAAGGAAGUCUGAAGUGUGGACCUAGAGACUGGACCCGGUUCUGAUUCUCUGAUUGGUCCCUGCAGCCCCCAUGAGUCCAGUCUAGAUUAGUUCUGUUGUUGACAGGUAAAACACAGCCACCAUGCUAACCUUUGACCUUCCUUUCCAUCUCUGUGGUUCUUCAGGUCCAAACCGCAGCAAUGCGGCAUCGCUUCCUAUUUUAAGACUUUGUUUGCUUUUUUUCUUACACCGGCUCAUGAAUAUUUCAUCGCUCACUUUAAAAAAGGGAACCAUGACAACUCUCUCACACACAGAGAACAGAACAGAACCAGUGGAGUUGGACUCACCGCGUCUGAACAUGUUGGCCCGUCUAGAAGCGUCGGUGCGGAAGCAGCAUCCUGGUAAAAGUGAUGAUUGGAUGUUUGUGGUUCCCGAGUAGAAGCAGAACACUGUAGAACUCUUUGUGACAGCGUGACUUCACGUGAUCAUCAUCCUCAUCUUCAUCACGAUGCCGUCACGUCGCCGCCCAGCUUGGCUCAAACGGUCUUCUUCUACUGAGUCCGACACACACUCACACACACACUCUCACACACACAGCUCACACAGCUGCUACGCUCUCUCUCCUCCUCACCCAUUCUCUUCAUCAGCCCUCCCUCCUCCUCUUGCUCACUCCUCCCUCCUCCUCUCGCUCUCUUUUUUGAUAUUCAACCACUGGACACUUUAGGUGCAUCAUGUAAAAACUACUGUGUUUCCCUUCUUAACAUACAUAUAGAUACAAUGGUGUGAAAAUGUGUGUGUCCCCUUCCUGAUUGCAUGUUUGCCAUACUUAAAUAUUUCAGAUCAUCAAUGCCAACACAACUGGGCGCACAAUACAGUUUUUCAAUGCAACUUUUUAUUAUUAAGGGAGAAAAAAAUCCAAACUUACAUGACCCUGUAUGAAAAAGUGAUUGCCCCUAAAGCCAAUACCCGGUUGGGCCAUCCUCAGCAGCAACAAUUGCAAUCAAGUGUUUGUGAUAACUUGCAAUGAGUCUCUUCCAGCGCUGUGGAGGAAUUUUGUCCCACUCAUCUUUGCAGAAUUGUUGUCAUUCAGCCACAUUGAAGCACCUUUUUAAGGUCAUGCCACAGCAUCUCAAUAGGAUUCAGGUCAGGACUUUGACUAGGCCACUCCAAAGUCUUCAUUUGGUUUUUCUUCAGCCAUUCAGAGGUGGACUUGCUGGUGUGUUUUGGAUCAUUGUCCUGCUGCAGAACCCAAGUUGGUUUCAGCUUCAGGUCACCAACUGAUGGCCGGACAUUCUCCUUCGGGAUUUUUUGGUAGACGCCAGAAUUCAUGGUUCCAUUUAUCACAGCAAGUCUUCCAGGUCCUGAAGCAGCAAAACAACCCCAGACCAUCACACUACCACCACCAUAUUUUACUCUUGGUAUGAUGUUCUCUUUCUUUUUCCGCCAGAUCACGUCAGACCACAGAGUAUUUUCCCAAAGGUCUUGGGGAUCAUAAUUUCUGACAAAACUGAGACGAGCCUUAAUGUUCUUUUUGUUCAGCAGUGGUUUUGGUCUUGGAACUUUUCCAUGCAGGCCAUUUGUCCAGUGUCUUUCUUAUGGUGGAGUCAUGAAUGAACACUGACCUUAACUGUGGCAAGUGAGGCCUGCAGUUCUUGUGGGGUCUUUUGUGACCUCUUGGAUGAGUCGUCGCUGCGCUCUUGGGGUCAUUUUGGUUGGCCGGACAAUCCUGGGUAGGUUCUACCACUGUUUUGUGGACAAUGACUCUCACUGUGGUUUGCUGGAGUCCCAAAGCUUUAGAAAUGACUUUAUAACCUUUUCCAGGCGG